rnacentral:rRNA from 1 species
GACGAACGCUGGCGGCGUGCCUAAUACAUGCAAGUCGAGCGAACAGACGAGGAUCUUGCUCCUCUGACGUUAGCGGCGGACGGGUGAGUAACACGUGGAUAACCUACCUAUAAUACUGGUAUAACUUCGGGAAACCGGAGCUAAUACCGGAUAAUAUAUUGAACCGCAUUGUUCAAUAGUAAAAGACGGCUGUGCUGUCACUUAUAGAUGGAUCUGCGCCUCAUUAGCUAGUUGGUAAGGUAAAGGGUUAUCAAGGCGACUAUGCGUAGCCGACCUGAGAGGGGGGUAGGCCACCCUGGAACGGAGACGCGGACCAGACUCCUACGGGAGGCAGCAGAAGGGAAUCUUCCGCAGUGGGGGAAAACAUGACGCAGCAACGCGGCGUGUGUGGUGAAAGUGUUCGGAUCGUAAAACUGUGUUAUUAGGGAAGAACAAAUGUGGAAGGAACUGUGCACGUCUUGACGGUAACUAGUAAGAAAGCCACGGCUAACUACGUG